CCUGUGGAACAACGGUGACCGCUUACUUAACCGCUGACCUGGAGGUCUUGGAGGAAGACUACAAUGAGUAUGUCAAGCUCGACAGUUACAAUGUUGAGAAGAGGAGUCACAUGGUGCAACGUGACAAACAGAUGGUGAUCAACAAAUUCACCGCCAUGGGAGAGGACGUGACCGAGGAGGAGUGCGUGUCUUAUCCCAUGUCUGUCCUGCGCGGCCUGGUCACCGAGGGAUCCAGCAUGCUAUUGAUGCGUCUCAUGGCUCUGAGGAAGAAGGUUCCAGAGAACAUGGUCUUCAUCAUCUUGGACCAAAG